rnacentral:rRNA from 1 species
GACGUAGGGAGCGAGCGUUGUCCGGAUUCAUUGGGCGUAAAGAGCGCGCAGGCGGUUUGGUAAGUCGGAUGUGAAAACCCGCAGCUCAACUGUGGGCUUGCAGCCGAUACGGGCGGGCUGGAGUUCGGUAGGGGAGACUGGAAUUCCUGGUGUAGCGGUGAAAUGACGCAGAUAUCAGGAGGAACACCGGUGGCGAAGGCGGGUCUCUGGGCCGAUACUGACGCUGGAGGAGCGAAAGCCGUGGGGAGCGAACAGG